UAAUAACUCAACCAAAAAUAAUUAAAUAGUAUCUACAAAGAUGGACCGACCCAUCAUGAAUCAAGUAAAGUAAUUUGGGCUUAAAUAAAUCGGAUAAAUAAACCUGGCCCAAUCCUACUUUAGCCAGACAUAUAUAAAUGUCUGUAGGGUUUUCUAAAUGAUGUUAUUGUCUUCUCUUCCGUUCUAGCUUAGUUUCAGGUGAAAAAUUGAUCCGUCGUCUCUGAAUCAACAAUUUGUGAGGCUUGCUCUGUGGAUCAUCAACACUCUGCCAUGGAGAUUGCAAAUUCCUUCUAUUAACAGCUCCUAAAACUGAGUUCUUUUGUAUAUGGGAUAGUUCUUCAUUUUUGGUUUUGAAAUAAGGGUUGUAGGUCCUUGAGAUGGAUUGCAUGUCCAAAUAUGGUUGGGAGGGAGAUAAGGGAUGCUCGGACCUGCAUAUGUUUGAACUGUCUUCUGCUUCUCAGGUGGAUUAGAUGCUUCCAUCUCCCUCAACCCUCCCCUUUUACCUAAAGUUCAUUUUUUAUGGUUGUAUUUGUAUUGGCUAGGCAACUUUUGUAUUUUGUGAUUGGCUUCCUGGGUUGUAAAUAGAUGCUUGUAAUCUUUGGUGUCACUAUUAGUUGUAGCCUUAAUUAGCCGCAUAUCCUUUUUUCAGUAAAACUCUGAUGUAUGGACACUGUAGCUUAUCACUGUUUAGAAUUUUCUUUCCUUUAA